rnacentral:misc_RNA from 1 species
GGCACGAUCGCCGAGAGAAACCCGCCCACGAACGAAAACCAACGCAGAGGUUUUAAAAUCAACUCGAACAUCGCCGCGUGCCACGAGUUCAAGAAACGAAGACCGAACCAACCAAGAGUGGUAGAAUCGUCGUCCUUACCGUUCCUGCGGGAGGACCUUCACCUACUUUUUAUCCAGCACGAGAUUGGAUAUGGAUUCUUAGUCCUUGAACAAAGGAUCGAAUAGUCGCAGUGUUUUUUCAAACCCAGUGAGCGAACUUGUUUACCAGUGACUUAGGAGUGGUCCAUGAUAAGUACCAACGAAAUCGCAGCAAAGACAUGGUGCUGAAAUUAUGGACACGCGCUGAAGCCGACUGUUACCAGUGAGACGGUAGAAAGCACGGAGUUAUAAUAUAAAAUUUUGUGCGGAGAAAGAUUUUACUUUAGUUUUCUUUUUUAUUUUUCUUUGAGUUCAAUCUCGUUCCUUCGUAGUAUCGAAGACGCUGACGAUGAUGAUGAUGAUUUGACGCCUACAUCAGUAACGAGUGAGCGCUGAUGUGACGGGGUCGAGAAGAGAUCAAAAAGUGUUCAUGCCGCGCGGCUAUCACCUCUAGACUGUCAGGAGGACUGAAUUCGACGUCAUGGAUUCUCAUCAGCUUGUCGAGACCGCGUCUCAGAACAGCCAGGACAUAACGAUUCAGCAAAAACCGGCGAGCAGCACUCCGAGGCACAGCAUCGACGCCAUCCUUGGACUUGCUGGACGAAAAAGGAGCGCGCAGGAUAUGGAGGAGGGAUCGAGGGAGCACGAGACUAACGGAGAGAACAGUUGCAACUCGACGGGGGGCGGAAGCGAUGAGGAAUUGGGAACCGGAUGCGGAUCUGACGACCUAACCGGAAGCAGUGGUAAGAAGAAGCACCGUCGCAACAGAACUACCUUCACAACCUACCAGCUACACGAGCUCGAAAGAGCUUUUGAGAAGUCCCACUACCCGGACGUCUACUCUAGGGAGGACCUGGCGAUGAAGGUCAAUCUGCCAGAGGUCCGGGUCCAGGUCUGGUUUCAAAAUCGUCGAGCCAAAUGGCGACGGCAGGAGAAAAUGGAAGCCGCUAGACUCGGCCUCACUGAAUAUCAUCACGCCGCUGCCACCAUGAGAAACGUCGCCGGUUCCGGACUCGGCCUUCCGGGUGAUCCGUGGCUACCAAAUUCCCCGUGUAUCUUACCGGCGCUUCCCGGCUUCCUGGCGGCGCCUCACGCCGGUUACUCCAGCUAUUUAACAUCCCCCAGACGCCUGCCGUCACCCCCGGAAACGGGCAGCAUACUAAACACAUUCCGAGGUCUAUCCUCGAUGAGUGAGCUUAGCUUGCGCGCCUGUCAGUACAACUCCUUGUUGGCCGCCGAGUUACAGGACAGCGGCGGACGUUAAAUGGAGGCCUGGGAGCCACGUGAGAGAUCGACCUAGACGACGAGACCAACACAGAAUGUCAACAAUUAAACAUUUAGAAAAAAUCCCGGACGAACAAUCCGACACAUGAGACCGCCGAACGGUGGCCUCUCGUCACUGGGAGGCGGUGGAGGCAGCGAUGGCGGGUCUUCGUCGUCGGUCGGAGGAGGUGGAAACGGAAGAGGAAGCGGCGAGCAGCCGGG